GACGAACGCUGGCGGCGUGCUUAACACAUGCAAGUCGAACGGAGAGGCCCUGCUUUUGUGGUGUUCUCGAGUGGCGAACGGGUGAGUAACACGUGAGUAACCUGCCCUUGACUUUGGGAUAACUUCAGGAAACUGGGGCUAAUACCGUAUAGGAUCUCCUGCUGCAUUGUGGGGGUUGGAAAUUUUCGGCGGUUGGGGAUGGACGCGCGGCUUAUCAGCUUGUUGGUGGGGUAGUGGCUUACCAAGGCUUUGACGGGUAGCCGGCCUGAGAGGGUGACCGGCCACAUUGGGACUGAGAUACGGACCAGACUCCUACGGUAGGCAGCAGUGGGGAAUAUUGCACAAUGGGCGGACGCCUGAUGCAGAAACGCCGCGUGUGGGAUGACGGCCUUCGGGUUGUAAACCGCUUUCGCCUGUGACGACGCGUGAGUGACGGUACUGGGUAAAGAAGCACCGGCUAACUACGUG
rnacentral:rRNA from 1 species